GUCUCAGUAGCUCAGCUGGAUAGAGCAACGCCCUUCUAAGGCGUCGGUCGGGAGUUCGAAUCUCUCCCUGGGAUG
rnacentral:tRNA from 1 species